UGUGUUGCUUACCUGUCGAAGGAAUGCUAUCGUUUCGCUGCCCCCGUCCGCCCGAUGCCCUUCGGGGGUACCGGGUGGACAUCGAGUAGGCUCUGCGUUCCUGGCACCCCCCGCACGCGUUGCGCGGGUUGCCUUGGCCCGCGGAGUCGUUGCCCGUUCUCUCGGAUGCGGAAUGCCUACGUGCGGGCGCGGGGCUUCGGCCGCGCGUGCCCGAGCUACGCAUUCGUCCCUUGACGCGAACGACUGUCGCGCUCGCCUUGACCCCGUGCGUCGGCCGGCCCGCGCACGGGGCUCAUGCGGGCGUCGACGUCGCGAGGAAUGCUACCUGGUUGAUCCUGCCAGUAGUC
rnacentral:misc_RNA from 1 species